ACGCUCGACACCUACGGGGGCAGCAGUGGGGAAUAUUGCACAAUGGGGGAAACCCUGAUGCAGCGACGCCGCGCGGAGGAAGAAGGUCUUCGGAUUGUAAACUCCUGUUGUUGGGGAAAAAGAGGAUGGUACCCAACAAGGAAGUGACGGCUAACUACGUGUCAGCAGCCGCGGUAAUCUGAGCGGGCUGGCAAGGC
rnacentral:rRNA from 1 species